AAGGAUCAUUGUUUAUAUUAUCUGUAAAGUUUUAAUUAGUAAAGAAGAAUUUUAUGAAAGAGCACUCAGCUUAAUUAAAAGUGGAUACCCAAGUUAUAGGUGUCCUUGAAACGCCUUUAUGUUUUUCUCUUCUUAGAUCUUGUUUUUCUGGAAAAGGUUUGUAUCUCAGUCAACUGAAUUACUUUUCUCCACUCUGUCUUGCCAAUCUUGGUGCAUGCAUGAAAGGCUCAAGGAUGACUUCUGGUGGCCUUGGACUCCUUGAGAAAACAGACAAGGUGCCACAGAUUCAAUUUGGGGGAAAUCUGUUUUCCUCAUGGAACCCCAAGAAUUAGAGAUGGAUAAAUCCCUCUCAAAAUCUGUUUUGGCCUUCGAGCUAUGCCUGUUUAUUAGGCCCCAGAAACUGCAUGCUUUUGUAGCCUUAUUCUUAAAGGGCUCCACCCUGAGCUGCUGGAUCUUCUUCUGUCUGUGUAGUCAUAUAUGUGUUGUGUGAUGUCUAUAAAAAAGAGCUGUAAUUGAUUGGCCUAUAAGCACUUAGAUCAAAUAAAAUUCUUUUUUUCCCAGACUGAGUCUUGCUCUGUCACCAGGCUGGAGUGCAGUAGUGCGAUCUUGGCUCACUGCAACCUCCGCCUCCCAGGUUUAAGCAAUUGCUCUGCCUCAGCCUCCCAAGUAGCUGGGAUUACAGGCACGUGCCACCAUGCCUGGCUAAUUUUUUGUAUUUUAGUAGAGAUGGGGUUUCACCAUGUUGGCCAAGAUGGUCUCAAUAUCCUGACCUUAUGAUCCACCCACCUCAGCCUCCCAAAGUGUUGGGAUUACAGGUGUGAGCCACUGCGCCUGGCCGAUCAAAUCUUUUUUGAAAGAAUAGUAAAAACUGUAAUUUCUCUUAGUUCAUGUGACUUUAAUCUUUAAAAAUAAAACAGUCUUAGGGAUUAUUGGUAAAAUACAAAUGUACUCAAGAUGUAAAUAUGUGGUCUAAAUUAUGCAGGUCAGAUGGUAGGUUUGCUAAAUGUUUUAAGGUUGUACUGCUCCUUUGGCCUUUAAGAACUGUUCAACUUGCCUGCUUCACAAUGGGUAAAGUCUGGGAACAUAUGGAAGUAACCAAGCCCCUAACUUAUUCUGGAAGGAGUUAAACUUUAUCUGCACCCAGCAAAUAAUUAAAACAACUUACCAGGUUUUACACUAAAGUUAAAAAUUGCUAAGAGGUAGGGCCAGGCGUGGUAGCUCACACAUGUAAUCCUAGCACUUUGGGAAGCUGAGGCGGACAGAUCACGAGGUCAGGAGAUUGAGACCAUCCUGGCUAAUGCGGUGAAACCCCAUCUCUACUAAAAAUACAAAAAAUCAGCCUGGCAUGGUGGCAUGUGCCUGUAGUCCCAGCUACUUGGGAGGCUGAGGCAGGAGAAUCGCUUGAACCUGGGAGGUGGUGGUUGCGGUGAACCAAGACUGUGCUACUGCACUCCAGCUUGGGUGACAGAGCAAGAUUCCAUCUUAAAAAAAAAAUUGCUAAGAGUUACCAUUAUGACAUGUAAUUGAGACUACUGAAUAGAUUUACAUGCAAUGUGUGUAAAAACAGUAAAAUGUGUUUUUUGUAAAAAAUUAUAAGAAGGCAUGGCAAUGUACGUUUUGCCUAGGGAUAAAGAAUUGUCUUAAAGUAGAUAAAAUACAACUGAAGGUUUAAGCAAACUGGGGAAAAAAUUGUAAGAAUUAAUCUUGCAAAGGAAACUCUGUGUGAAUAUAUUGACUACAUUCAAAAGGGUAUUAUGUGGUUUUCUGUAAAUUGAGCAUUGAAAUAAAAGCACAACAAAGAACUCUUAAUGCAUGAAUCUACUCUUUAGCAAAAUUUGUAAAGGGUUAUAAAAGGUUUGUGAAAAUCUCACCUCAUUGUCAAACUGGUUAAGAUUGGAUAGAAUUGCCUAUAAUUGUUUCAUUAAAAAUUGUGGUUGACAUUAAUAGUACACUAAUGUAAGGGUGAAAUUUGGCUUUCUCUCUCUUGAACACAAUUUUCAUGUAAUAGUAAAGGGUGUUUAUACUCACAGUGAUAUAGGAAUAGCACUGGGUGGUUGCAGGAGGAUGGAAAAAUUCGAACAACAAAUAAAAACAAGAACUAGGCAAAGAAACCAUAGGAUAACAGAAAACCCAAAAUAAGAGAAAGAAUGGCCAAAAUCCCAGUCAGGAUGACAUGUCCAUGACUCUUCUGGGCAAAGCCAAAUAAGAGAGAAAGGGGGCAGUAACCAGGUGGGUCCCUGAAUUUCCCUCCUUUUCCAGAAUACCUAAUAAUUAUUCCACUCUCUAAUUAAAGAAACACCCACAAAAUAGGAAUGCUGUGUGGUCACAGGAGAAGGGGGAAAACAUCAAGCUGUUAAAAUUAGCUACUCCAACAAGAAGACUGGGCUGAUGAGACCUUAACAAACAGGAUUGGGGCUAGGCUGUCCCAUGACGCUAGAUUUGACCCAUUUCCUACCCCAGACCUAAUUAUACACUCAUUGCCACAUUAAAUCACACACCCACCAGUGCCAGGCCAAUCCAAGCACGCCCACAUUUAGUAUAAAAAUGGUUGGCACCCCAAUUCUAAGAAAUUCCCACCUUUUCCUAGAAAAACCUCAUGAUUAUCCCACCCCCUAAUUAGAAGAGCCCAUAAAAUUAGAAACCCAAACUCCAUUGUGCAUGACCCGCUCUCCCUCGUACGUCCGCAUUUCCCUCUUCUCUUGGGAAAAGUACACUCUUCUCAAAAAUGUGUACUUUUUCUUCCCAAUAAAAGCUUCUUGCCUUUGGCUUCAUUUUGACUCAUCCCUGCAUUCUUUCUCACGAUGGUGUCACGAAGCUGGACUCCGGAAGCGGGCGGGGACUCACGGCCCCUGGAGACCUUCCUGAGCCCUGGGCAACACCAGUCCACACAGAGGAGGCAGACGUCCCACAGACGGAACCCCACGAGCAUGUCCCGGGAAUGGCUCCACGCGGGAAGCGGGGGUCCAGAUCCACGCCAGUCCCAGGGACAGUGCCUGGCGUCAGGGUGGAGGAGGACGCAGUAACCAGGCGUAAGAUUUUACUGGUACAUGGGAAUGUCACUGGGUCACUCAGAGGAGGCAAGCGGGGAACCUCGUGGCAGGGCCCCCUUUAUCAAACUCGUUUACCUGGGUGCCUGGGCGAGUGCUCACAGCCUGCUUGUAGGGACGUUGAGGCAUCCGAAUAAUAGGAAGUUUUAAAAAUUUACAAUCCAGUGUGUACACUUGCUCCGCUAAGAUCAUCUGAGAUAUACAGAAACAUGGUGUGC
rnacentral:lncRNA from 10 species